rnacentral:lncRNA from 1 species
AUCUUAAAGUCAGUAAAUUGCAGAUGUAAGAUUCAAAACGAGACUUCACAUCUACCGACUUCAGUGAUCCUGAAAUUUGUCCACAGAGAGCAUUUAACAUAACUGUCUUCAUCAUCUCCUUCUCUAAUUAAAAACUAUGGAGGCCUUACAAACUGGUAGAAGAUGCAUAAUAGAAGAGCUUAUGAAGUUAAAGAUGACAGCAUAGCAACACUGUUCACAAAGACAUUAUUGGUGAUUCAAUCUUGAGUCAUGAAAAGCCAACCUUGAGCCACAAAAAGUCAACCUUGAGCCAAGCAGAGUGGAGAGUCAUACUGGCCAUUCCUGGGACCAUCAAAAAUGGCAGAGGUCACACAAAAGGCAAAACCUUUAAGAGGUGUUUUAAACAUCGUAUGGGCCAAAGAGAAUCUGGAUUUCCUAUUGCAGUCAGCUGUAACACACGUGUGACAAAUUGGGCUGUGAGGACAAGGCAGUGAGUAGAGACGACAGCAGUCCUUAUGAGAUCAAGCUCUAAG